rnacentral:rRNA from 1 species
AUUGAACGCUGGCGGCAUGCCUUACACAUGCAAGUCGAACGGCAGCACGGGAGCAAUCCUGGUGGCGAGUGGCGAACGGGUGAGUAAUGUCUGGGAAACUGCCUGAUGGAGGGGGAUAACUACUGGAAACGGUAGCUAAUACCGCAUAACGUCGCAAGACCAAAGAGGGGGACCUUCGGGCCUCUUGCCAUCAGAUGUGCCCAGAUGGGAUUAGCUAGUAGGUGGGGUAACGGCUCACCUAGGCGACGAUCCCUAGCUGGUCUGAGAGGAUGACCAGCCACACUGGAACUGAGACACGGUCCAGACUCCUACGGGAGGCAGCAGUGGGGAAUUUUGGACAAUGGGCGAAAGCCUGAUCCAGCCGUGCCGCGUGCAGGAUGAAGGCCUUCGGGUUGUAAACUGCUAUUGUACAGAACGAAAAGGUUUCUACUAAUACUAGGAGCUCAUGACGGUACUGUAAGAAUAAGCACCGGCUAACUACGUGCCAGCAGCCGCCGUAA